GAUGAACGCUGGCGGCGUGCCUAAUACAUGCAAGUCGAGCGAACAGACGAGGAGCUUGCUCCUCCGACGUUAGCGGCGGACGGGUGAGUAACACGUGGAUAACCUACCUAUAAGACUGGGAUAACUUCGGGAAACCGGAGCUAAUACCGGAUAAUAUAUUGAACCGCAUGGUUCAAUAGUGAAAGACGGUUUUGCUGUCACUUAUAGAUGGAUCCGCGCCGCAUUAGCUAGUUGGUAAGGUAACGGCUUACCAAGGCAACGACGCGUAGCCGACCUGAGAGGGUGAUCGGCCACACUGGAACUGAGACACGGUCCAGACUCCUACGGGAGGCAGCAGUAGGGAAUCUUCCGCAAUGGGCGAAAGCCUGACGGAGCAACGCCGCGUGAGUGAUGAAGGUCUUCGGAUCGUAAAACUCUGUUAUUAGGGAAGAACAAAUGUGUAAGUAACUAUGCACGUCUUGACGGUACCUAAUCAGAAAGCCACGGCUAACUACGUG
rnacentral:rRNA from 1 species